CAUGCAUACAGAUUCUCUCUCCUCACCGCGGCUGCUGCUGGAGGAUGAAGGAGGGGUGGUGUUAGCAAUUCAAGACUGUCUUUCCUACCCUCUUCAGUGCCUUUCCUUGAUAAGCUGUUUAAACCAGAACUGUUUCCGGAAAAGGUAAAAAUAUAUUCUCCAAAGGGCAGUGACUUUCUACCUGUGAAAAUAAAAGUAAACUUCAGAAGAAAAUUCUGAAAGAGGAAUUUAGAGAUAUUCCAAAUAAAGGUAAUAUAGUUUCACUGGAACUGAAAUGUUGCCUUCCAAUUCUAUUACAGAAGGCAGAGUGGCACAUAUGGCACCUGGUUGGGAUGGACUCACUAAAGGAUUUAACCCAGACUUCUGAUCCACAAAUAUUACUGCUAUAUUAACUGAUUUGCAACAAAGAAAGAAAACAUCAUCAAGUUUAUUUUAUUAUUUAAAUAUGGGCUCAAAUCUUAAAUCUGACAAACUAAUAAAUAAACAUGUCUGAAAAGUAAA